UACGGAGGGUGCGAGCGUUGUUCGGAAUCAUUGGGCGUAAAGGGCGUGUAGGUGGUCUAUUAAGUCAUGUGUGAAAGCCCUCAGCUUAACUGGGGAAGUGCGCAUGAAACUGACAGGCUAGAGUACCGAAGAGGAAGGUGGAAUUCCCGGUGUAGCGGUGAAAUGCGUAGAGAUCCGGAAGAACACCGGUGGCGAAGGCGGCCUGCUGGGCAGUAGCUGACACUGAGGCGCGACAGCGUGGGGAGCAAACAGG
rnacentral:rRNA from 1 species